rnacentral:lncRNA from 1 species
GUUGUGCUGACGCUGUACUUCACCUCGGACGGCUACCUGGGCCUGGACCAGCAAUACAGCCUGCAUCUCAAGGUGCUGGAGGCGCCGCGUGCAAGCGACCGGCAGCAGCACCAGAAGGACCAGCAGGACCAUCAUGAAGGACCUUACUCUCCAACUGACCACAAGAAAUAUGAUCUUCCCGUCGCAGACGCCGUGGCAACGUCGGCCAUAUCCAGCACCUUCGGCCAGGAUUUCCCGCCCCUGAAACCUGGCGGGAGUUUUGACGAGGACCUGACGUGGUCGACGAACACGACCUCGAGCGUCGUGAGCGACUCGACGCCCUUCUCUUCCAGGGCCGCCACUGACCACGAGUCCUCCAAGAGCCCAGACCUGGACGACGGGUGCUGGGCCGCACCGCGCCCUACUUCUCUGGGGCCCAACAUCCCAGACCGUGACGGGGGUCUUAAGAAAUCGGGGAGCGGAGAAAAAAGAGGCAGCACUAACAACAGCCGGGCUGGCAGUCAAAGUAAUAAUAACAGCCGCGCUGGGAGUGUCAGCAGCAACAACAGCCGUGGCAGCAGGCACGGCCGAGGCGGCAAAAAGAACGAGAAGCGUCAGUAGGUCCUGCGAUGUUAUAGUUCAAUGAGAAAUGUUGAAUCUGGCAUGUGGAGUUUACUUUA